rnacentral:rRNA from 1 species
GAUGAACGCUGGCGGCGUGCCUAAUACAUGCAAGUCGAGCGAACAGACGAGGAGCUUGCUCCUCUGACGUUAGCGGCGGACGGGUGAGUAACACGUGGAUAACCUACCUAUAAGACUGGGAUAACUUCGGGAAACCGGAGCUAAUACCGGAUAAUAUAUUGAACCGCAUGGUUCAAUAGUGAAAGACGGUUUUGCUGUCACUUAUAGAUGGAUCCGCGCCGCAUUAGCUAGUUGGUAAGGUAACGGCUUACCAAGGCAACGAUGCGUAGCCGACCUGAGAGGGGGAUCGGCCACACCGGAACUGAGACACGGUCCAGACCCCUACGGGAGGCAGCAGUAGGGAAUCUUCCGCAAUGGGCGAAAGCCUGACGGAGCAACGCCGCGUGAGUGAUGAAGGUCUUCGGAUCGUAAAACUCUGUUAUUAGGGAAGAACAAAUGUGUAAGUAACUAUGCACGUCUUGACGGUACCUAAUCAGAAAGCCGCGGCUAACUACGU